rnacentral:rRNA from 1 species
CGGUUUCAAUCCUGUCUCUGAAGACUCCUCCCAAAUUCUCAACUGCUGCUGCUGCCGCCGCUGCUUCUUCCUCCUCCUCCCCGCGAUUCCUCCCCGCAAUUCCUCCCCCCUCUUCUUCGGCGCCGGCGGGGACGACGGGACACAGCCGAGAACCCAGGCUGCCAGGACCAGCGGCCACUUCAAGCUUGCUUCUUGGUGCUUCUUCUGCCUCAGCGCAGCGCGAGAUCCAUCUGAGCGGAGCCAAGCUGAGCUGAUCCCAUUGGCGAGAUGGACAACACCCAAUUCGCCAUGAUUGAGGAGCUGGCCUCGCUCAUCAAGGACAACCUCUACAGCAAGCACCUCGUCCUCUCCAUCGAGGAGGCUCUUGUCACUCUCCUGCAGCAACGGUACCACGAUGACGACGACGAGGAGGAACAUGACCGCGCCGCGACCGGAGCGCGUCACGGGCCAGCUGGGAAUACCAUAGAGCUCCAGCCCACCAGCUCAUACAACCGCCUCCUUUUGCAUCGUCUCGCCGACAUUUAUGGGUUUGCUCAUGAAUCUGUUGGCGAGGGCGAGGAUCGGCAUUUGGUUCUCCAGCGCUGCCCUGAAACAGCCAUCCCUCCUGUCCUUGUCAGCGAUGUGUUAUGGAAUUAUGACGACAGUGAUGGCCCUUCAGCCUCUCUUAUGCUAGCGAGAAAUGAGACAGAUCUUCAGAAAACUCAUGAGCCAGAAGAUGUCCAAAACGCUAUUUCUCUUGAAAGCUUGCAUCUGAAAACUGAUACACCAGUUUCGAAGCCUUUGCAGCAGUCGGUGCCACCUUCAGCAGCAUCACUCAAAGAGAGGGAAGCUGCUUAUCGGGCUGCACGUGAGCGAAUCUUCUCUUCGCAUGAAGCCAAGGGAAACGACACAUCAGCAGCAAAAUCUAGGCAUGUUCCUGCUGUUGCUCAACGGAUGAUCGCACAUGCACUUGGUAAGAGAGUUGAAGAUCCAACAGAGAGAGCUGCCUUGGUCAAAGGGAAGGAACUGGUAAAUGGACGAACUAGUCCGACGAGUAAAGAAGCAGUUAAACACAACUCAAGCUCACCUGAUGGUGGUCCGUAUCGGAACCCAUCUACUCGAAGCCGUCCUACACCUACUGUUAGCGCCGAGACGCUGAAGAAAGAACAGACUGGAGCGGCUAAAAGGAUGUUUGCACAUGCAUUGCGGCUCCCUGGCGUUGAAAUACCCAAUGGCGCAGCACGAAAACCCAAGUAAGAAGAGCUGGAGAUGAAUGAAAUUCCGAGAAUGCAUGGGCUGGGGCUGCCUUGACUGCCGUGCCCCGUGCGAUGGAGCUGGAAGCCCUCGCUGUGCCAGCCUGCUCUUAUGGAGUGCCACUUGUGAUGCAUGUUAGAAGCAGAUGAAAGGAUUGGCUGUUGAACUCAGCCGGUGUGAGACAACAGACAAUGCACCGUAACCUUUUGCCUCCCUUGACUGGAGUUGAGUCGAAGAAAAACCUGAGGGCACGCGGCGAGAAGGCUGAAUCCAAAGUGGCUGUUCCCUGUUAGAAUUGUGCUAGUAAGUACGUAGUAGUGUUGGUUGCUAGCCAACAGAAAAAAUGUUGUUGUUAGCGCCUACCCCAGUCUAGUGAGUGUUUUUGGCUCUCCAACCUGCUGUAUCGUGCUUAGGCCUUGUAUAAUGAAAGAUGCUUAGGGGAGGUGCUUAGAGAAAUAAACCAGGCUUUUCUUAAGCACCGGUGCUUAUUUGUAUAAGAUAGACGCUUAACUAUGCGUCUCUCCUGUAGAAAUAAGCAUCGGUGCUUCAGAAAAUCCCGGUUUAUUUUUCUAAGCACCACCCUAAGCAUCUAGCAUUCGACAGGGCCUUAGCUUAUAUACUACACUUUCGUGUAUCUUACUAUCUUGGUUUGGUUUUGAAAGGCUUGGUUCCCACAAAGUUUUAUAGGUGGUGCAUGAAAUUCGUUCUUUUUCCAGAAAAAACACAUUGAAAAUAGAGUUUAGGUUAUAUAUUCCUCCUAAGAUGUACUCCCUCCGUUCCCAUAGUAUAAGUUCUAAUUACAUAAGUUACAAGCAGGGAACACAGACUAAUGCAAAUCCCAGGUCGUCAGUAGAACAGCUCUACGCCCGGUGGCCCCAGCCCUAGCCCAUAGCCUGGCCUCAUUUUUGAUUCUACAGUUGCACAUGCAGUCAUUUCGGUGCUUCCAAGCGUCGCGGAGGCAAGCCCUUUGCGCAUCAACUUGGUUGUCUUUUUUCAUUCAUUCUCCUUUAAUUUUUUUCUCUAUCUAAAAGUGGAAGUGCUCUGCCUUCAU